AACAUUUAGCAAUUCCUUGUGCAAUUGUAUCUGGGUAAAACUGAAGAGUCAUAUUUUCAGGAAAAUAUACUAAUUCAAUUGAUAAAAGAAGAAACUCAUCAUUAGUUUCAUACAAAAUGUAAAAAUUAGCUACUGACUUUAUCAUUAAAGAAAAAAAAAUUGUAGUUCCGAUUCAAAUAAUAGAAACCUCAGGAAAAGAAUUGACUUAGUAUGACAAUCAAAAGACUACAUACCUUCUAAUCCAUCAUUUACAUCACGAAUGGUAAUUCAAACUUCUUCAUAUAAACGUAAAGGCCUUCAUAUAAACGUAAAGGCGUACCUUUUCCUUGCACAUGAUUGUUGUUAUUGUCAAUCAUUCGUCAUCCACUUGAUUUUACCAAAAUAAGAAGUAGAGAAUUAAGUUGCUUCCUCUCACUCCUUGAACCAAUAAAAUCACAUUUCAUACAGCCAAUCCUCCAGGCCUGGCAACUGUAGCCAUCCCAAAAGUAUCCGUUCCCUUCUGCUUUGUUAGAAAAUAGAAAAUAGAAAAUAUUCGACUUUUUUUUUAUUUACCAAAAAAUCAGAAGGGUAUAAUCUGUCACCGGCUGCCCUUUCAUAACCCAGCUCAGAAAAAUCCUCAGCACCAAAAAAAUAACCAUUUACACAUGCUUCUCAAGCCUAUAUUUUCCAGAAAACAUGGCAACCCGACAACUGACUGUCAUUAAUUUACAUUGCACUCCCCCAAGAAAUGAUCAUCUCGGUUCAGAAAACUUCUCCAAUAACGUCUAUACUUAGGGAUUCCUAGCUCCAGCCAGGGUUUCAUUUUUCCAUUAUAGUGCAAUAUUGCAGCAUUCUUAAUGACUUUCACAUCAAGCCCAUAAUCAUGACCCAUUCCCGACAAAGCCCACACAUUAUCAAGUGCAUAUAUUUGGUCCUGAAAGGUAAGCAAG
rnacentral:misc_RNA from 1 species